UAACACAUGCAAGUCGAACGGCACCCAUCUUCGGAUGGAAGCGAGUGGCGAACGGCUGAGUAACACGUGGAGAACCUGCCCCCUCCCCCGGGAUAGCCGCCCGAAAGGACGGGUAAUACCGGAUACCCCGGGGUGCCGCAUGGCACCCCGGCUAAAGCCCCGACGGGAGGGGAUGGCUCCGCGGCCCAUCAGGUAGACGGCGGGGUGACGGCCCACCGUGCCGACAACGGGUAGCCGGGUUGAGAGACCGACCGGCCAGAUUGGGACUGAGACACGGCCCAGACUCCUACGGGAGGCAGCAGUGGGGAAUCUUGCGCAAUGGGGGGAACCCUGACGCAGCGACGCCGCGUGCGGGACGGAGGCCUUCGGGUCGUAAACCGCUUUCAGCAGGGAAGAGUCAAGACUGUACCUGCAGAAGAAGCCCCGGCUAACUACGUGCCAGCAGCCGCGGUAAUACGUAGGGGGCGAGCGUUAUCCGGAUUCAUUGGGCGUAAAGCGCGCGUAGGCGGCCCGGCAGGCCGGGGGUCGAAGCGGGGGGCUCAACCCCCCGAAGCCCCCGGAACCUCCGCGGCUUGGGUCCGGUAGGGGAGGGUGGAACACCCGGUGUAGCGGUGGAAUGCGCAGAUAUCGGGUGGAACACCGGUGGCGAAGGCGGCCCUCUGGGCCGAGACCGACGCUGAGGCGCGAAAGCUGGGGGAGCGAACAGGAUUAGAUACCCUGGUAGUCCCAGCCGUAAACGAUGGACGCUAGGUGUGGGGGGACGAUCCCCCCGUGCCGCAGCCAACGCAUUAAGCGUCCCGCCUGGGGAGUACGGCCGCAAGGCUAAAACUCAAAGGAAUUGACGG
rnacentral:rRNA from 1 species